CGGUUGGCUAUGACUUAAAAAUACAAUCCAAGCUGACCAAUUCAACUGAUGUGGUGCAAAUUAUUGACAAUAUACGGAAAGCUGUGAAAGCCUGUUUGGAGAUGAAGAGAGAGGACCCAAGGAAUGUCCCAAGAGACUAAGGGUAUACAGACGAGGAGGCAUACAAAGGUAUGUCAAUUCGUAUUGGUAUGUUAUGUUGAUCACAUUUCCCAUCCUCCUCCCUUACCUCUUCAAUGAAUUUCCCAUAGGCCUCUACAUUAUGGACAAGACUUCACCCUCCCUACACCUCU